rnacentral:misc_RNA from 1 species
CUGAGUUAUCAAACUCCAAACCCAUGUGAACUUACUAUUGUUGCCUCGGCGAGAGAGCCCACUCGGUAGUUACUCUGUACCUACCCGGCACCUACCCUGUACCUACCCUGUAGCUACCCUGUAGUGCCGUGCAAAGUGGUGGGAGCUCGUCGUUGGACCACUAAACUCUUGUUUUUUGUGUCACUUCUGAAUUUGUCAUAUAAUAAGUUA